GAACGUAGGGCGCGAGCGUUGUCCGGAUUUAUUGGGCGUAAAGAGCUCGUAGGCGGCUUGUUGCGUCGACUGUGAAAACCCGCGGCUUAACUGCGGGCUUGCAGUUGAUACGGGCAGGCUAGAGGUCCGGAAGAGGAGAGUGGAAUUCCUGGUGUAGCGGUGAAAUGCGCAGAUAUCAGGAAGAACACCAUGGCGAAAGCAGCUCUCUGGGACGGUACUGACGCUGAGACGCGAAAGCUAGGGGAGCGAAACGGG
rnacentral:rRNA from 1 species